UAUUGUGUAGCUCAGUGGUGGAGCACUUGCCUAGCAUGCAUGAGGCCUGGAUUCCAUCCCCAGCACAACAA
rnacentral:tRNA from 1 species